UUUAUCGACAUCCACGUCUUCGGCGCCCGGGGAAGUGUGUCAACUGCCUUACUACUGCUGUGCACUGUAUGCACUUCCAAAAAAGGUCGGCUGAUCCAGCAGCAGUAUCCUGAAAGAUCAUUGAUUGUAUUUUUAUUUAUUUUUGGAAGUACAUACAUGUAGAAGGGAAGUAAUGAUGAUAGUUGCUAUGUGAAACUACAUAUUUUGCACAUCUAUUUAAUGUCUGACAGGCAGUCAUCCCUACAUAUUUGAUCGGGCUUUCUUCCCCUGCUGUGGAAAAUGUAAACAGGCAGUUUGUGGCACGUUGUUAACACAAAUGAUAUGUGAGCCGAAUUCACACUCCAACCUGUGUCCCUGGGCUGGACACAGGACAGAUUGUUCUCCUGGAUUAUGACAGCUUCACCCAAAACGCCUGAUGUCAUACGAGCUCCGGGACACAGAGCAAACAAAGGCUGGGAUCACUUGGCAGCGUGGGGUGUGCUGAGAGCAGGGUCUGUCUGUUAAACUGAGUUGAGUGGUUACAGACACUGGAGAGCUAAGGUUGCAUAACACCAGUGGCGUACGAGCAAUUCUGAAUUGGAGGGCAUUUUGCUACGGAUGUUGGGUGCAAACCCCCCCCCCAAAAAAAACAAAAAACAAAACAAAAUUGAAGGUUUUAAAUGCUAAUUUCUAGUGACUUUUGAGAAAAGGAUACAGACAAUUAUUAACUUACAUAUGGGCAAAUUUACAAGGCUAAGGGGGCCUUGCAGAGGGUCACUUUCUCUGGUACAGUCCAAUCAGUCUUAGGGCCAUGGCCAUUCAUACUGUACUGAAUACCAGUGUGACUGUUAAUGUGGAGAUAUUCAAUUAAACAACCAUUUUGUUCUCUUUCUCCGCUACUGUAUGAUUCAUUCCUAGUAUUUUCUCACUUACCCUAUGUCAGGUUGUUAUUACUGCUGCUCUACAUACUGUAUGGUUUAAACUUAACAUAAUAAUUACAACUAAUAAAACUGUAAUAAUAACCAGCAACAUACUGUCACACAAUGACCAUAGUUUGCUUUGUAUGUUUAUAUGUUUGGUUUGGUCAGGGUGUGAUCUGAGUGGGCAUUCUAUGUUGUGUGUCUAGUUUGUCUGUUUCUGUGUUUGGCCUGAUAUGGUUCUCAAUCAGAGGCAGGUGUUAGUCAUUGUCUCUGAUUGGGAACCAUAUUUAGGUAGCCUGUUUGGUGUUGGGUUUUGGUAGGUGAUUGUUCCUGUCCUUUUGUCCUUAUGUCUGUCGUGUGCUAGUUUACACCAGUAUUAGGCUGUUUCGGUUUUCGUGUAUUGUUUUUUCAUAUUGAUUCGUGUUUACUUCAGUUUUAUUAAACAUGGAUUGUAAUAGA